rnacentral:rRNA from 1 species
UAAGUAGACGACAAGAGGAACCGCAUUGAGAUUAAAUAAUGAUUAAACUUUACCCUUACAUUUAAGAUGUAGUAGUUUGUCAAGUUAUUUAACUCUUUGGCGAGUGACAGAAAAUCGGAGGCCCCGACUGUUUACUAAAAACGACAAUUUUCAGCAAUGAUGAAUAUCAUAGUAUUGAAGAUGAAAUUUGCUCGAUGCCAAUAAUAUAAUAAAGAGUAUGGUCCCUAAAGGGCUUAUCAUAAUUUAAGAUAUAAAUUAGGUUACUUAACAUUAUGUAUUAAAAUAAUCAAUACUUAUCUAAGGCUAUAGAACUUAUCAAUCUAUAGCAAGAGUCAAAAAAACCACCUUACCCCUCAAACUUCUAAGUAGCCUACGGGUACGGACGGAUUGAUAUAAAAUUUUGGCGAUCUAAGCUCUAGAGUAUUGAGAUUAUGCCUAUUCUUAUUCUUAUUAUGAUUUGUAUAACUGUUCUUUUAUGAAAUUCUGGUGAAUGGCGGUCUUAACUAUGAGGAUCCUAAGGUAGCAAAAUAAAUUGGCCAUUAAAUGUGGUCCGGUAUCAAUAAUGUAACGAUGGCCUCACUGUCUCUACAACUUGCUCAGUGAAAUUGAAUUGCACGUGCAGAUGCGUGCGACCUUUA